ensembl:lncRNA
AUGUCUCUCUCUCUCCUCUGACUGCCCUGUCUGUUGUCUCAAUACAUACAGAAAACAUGUCUCUCCCUCUCUCUGUCUGUCUCUGGGAUUUUCCCCCUCAGAAGUGUAGCUCAACCAGUUCAACAACUCAACACAUCACUCCAGCCUCUCGGUUUGAGCUCUGACUCAUCCUUCCCAGCCCUCAGGGUUGGUUUGUACCAAUCACACCACAGAGUGUUCAGGAAGCCGUAGAGACCAUGGUUGGUAAUGGGUCAAGUCUUUUUUAAAUUUUCGUUCUAUAAUCCUGUUUAUGAUGGUUUACUUCAAUCAUAUACUGAGAUAUCCACGUCGGUGACGGGCAUGACAUGCAGAGGGCUUUAUGCGUAUCUUUGCUGGUCCUGAGGGCUUUGAGAUGACUGCCAUAGUGGUACUACAAUAUGUCUUGUCUGACUGUGUUGAAGUGCAAUGAGUUUAAAUGGUACCGUCAGUCUGUUGUGACCGCAACACCUCCUUAAUAGUGAUUUUUGACUUUGUCUCUCCUUUUCCGUUUUGUCAUCUUAAAUGAAAAUUCAAUCAAGUGAUUGAUUGCUGUCUGACAUGUCCUGUUGGUAAAUAGUUGGUUUAUUGUGUUGGAGUCCAACUCUUCAGUUUGGUGGAGGGCCGUUGUGUGGUAUAACAGAUGGCUUUGUUGCAUGUUGAAAACUAUUUGUAAACAUUUUCCAAGCACAAGGUGGUGCCAUUUCUCAUCUUUACUUGUUCCUCCUCUUUUAGUGGUCCAUCAGGAAAUGGUACUCCUCUUUAUAUACUUGAGAGAGAUUUUAUGAGAUUUCCUUGGAAGGUUUUUAAUAAAGUUAGUUAGUGCUCACCUUCCUCACACUCUCCAGUAGAUGAUGGUUGAUCUCAGCCCAGACUGUGUGUGCCUGGUGAUGGCCAUGCACUGACCACCUGCCAUAUUAUUGUGGUGUGUAGUGUGUAUAUAUAAAGGUGUGUAGUAUAUAUCACACACCACAAAACACUGACCACCUGUUACUAAGGUGGUGAUACAACUCCAUUACUCCUGGAAACACCAGCACCGCAGUUUGUCCUUCAAGGUGACCGUACACCUACCCCCAACCUUUUAAAGGGACAGUUCACCCAAAUUACCCCCCCCCCAUGAUAGUAUAAGCUGUCUGGACAAGGACGGAGUACAAUCCAAGCUUUGGGUUCGUUUACCUAGAAUCCCAUAGACCUGCUUUCGGGGUAAAAAAAAAAAAAAGUAUAAUUUUAUUUGGGUGAACUCUGCUGCGCUAUCAGGUUUUCGCCCUGCAAUAUUUGAAACACCUGUUAAAUGUCCCCAACAUAUUUUUAUCAAAGAGCUUUAUAUAUAUGAAUGAUGACAUCGCUGUGAGAAUUUCUAACAUGUACUAGCAGACUGUUUUGUCAUUGGUCGCCAAGCCAUUCACUGUACAAUGUCCGUGACCAUAGUCUUCUCUCUGCUUCGGACCCAUGGACUCUUUUGUGUGUAUCAAGGACUUGUUUGGUUAUAAGGGAUGGUUAGGUAAUUCUGAAAUGUGCGGGGAUGUCAUUGGAAGGUGUGGGGUCUUUUUAAUUUUUUAAAACUAUUUUGUUUUAGUUGGAAAGCAUAUGUUCAAACGGUACUCUGUUUCCUGGAUAGUGGUCUACCUUUUUUAAAUGGGCGGAUGUAGUUGGCGUUGUGCUGGGCAUUGACUGCGUCGAUCGUUUUUUUUCCCCUGUUUUUUUUUUCUAGUUUGCUCAUUUAGUUUGCUCAUUUUAAUUUUCUUUAUGUAGUAACUUCCAUAAUAAAAGUUUAUUUCAAAUUAUAUUUUGUGUUGUGCAGUUGUGUGUAAUUUCAUGGAGUCCUCAAAGUAUUGACAAGGUAAUAGAACCAAGUGGGUGUGUAUUUUUUUUAAAUGUUUUUUUUGUGUGUAAAGUUUGAAAUAUGGUAAAAAUUUGAAACUCUACUGUCACUUCCAAUAAUCAUGGGGUUUGAUUCCCGCUGGGGCCACCCACACGAAACAAUAUGCACUCACUUUGGAUGAAGACUUCUGAUUUAGUAGGAAAUGGGAGCUCCGCCAGGUUCUUAUCUAGUCGUCAGGGGGAUACCAAAGAGCAGAUUUACUGGCCUUCUAGCACCAACUACCUGUAUGAACGUUCAGCCGAAUCUCUUUCUAAAACAUUUCACUCCAAGUGAAUCAUUUGCUGUAGCGACUUAGCACUGUGUGAUCAUAAAGACCAUAUCAAAACUGAUUUUCGCUCAAGAUAAUUCUGCAGUGUUGCCUCUUGGUUCUUG